UAAAAAGGAAAAAAAAAUGAAGGAAACCCUAGCCCCAAUCUCUUUCCCCUUCCUUUCACGUGUAGUCCCAUUCUUAAGAAGCUUCUCUUCCUCCAUAGCAGUCUCAUUCUUCUUCUUCUUCCUUCAUAGUAGCUCCAUUCUUCUUCAUCAUCGGCGGCGACUCCACGACAGUAUUUCCCAGCGGACGACGAUGCGAACGAACCCCAUGGCGGCGUGACCCUCGGGCUGUAGCGUUUUCGAUGGUGGUGCGACAACAACAAACGCUCAGAUCUGGCGUUCUUCCUUCGAUGGCACAGAAGUGCGUGCGGCUCCUUUUGGGAGUCGUUUAGUGGCAGUGCAGUACUGUGGAUUGGAAGGAAGUUAUUUCUGUUCUAGGAAUGAGCAUCUAAACCCUGCAAAAAGGGGGAAAAAAUUCAAAGAUUCGAAGUUCAAAGUGAUGGGAGAGAGAGAAGCCAUAAGUGCAUGCGGCUCCUUUAACAGCGGCAAGGAGCAUUCGGUGGUAGGGUUGUUGCUUAUUUGGUUAAUCGAUGGUAGGGUUGUUGCACUCUUAUUAGAUGUUGAUCUGGAAAAUUUAUUUUUAGGCUGUGUUGCUUACUUUUACGAUUUUUAUUAAUUGAAGAGAUAAACAACAUAUUGUUGUUUAUGGCAGACUGUCUGGGUAAAUAAUUUUUCUCCCCUUUCUACUAUGAAAUGUGCUACUUUGUAGUUCUGCCAAACCUGAGAAAAUUAUAUUCCAUGUCUCUUCAGUUGUGCCUUUUUUUUUUUUUAGUCACGUGAUUGGUUGGAUGUGUGGUAGAGAAGAGAUUUCUAUAAAGAAUCAAUGAUGGUUACUAAUUAGAUUCGGCAUCUAAGUUCAAUUAUUAAGCUUAAUUAGUUUUCACCUAAAAGUUUAAGUUCAGGGAUAAGUGGUCUGGAGGAUCAGUUUAAUGUCAAUAUUAAAGAAAUAGGCUUUCAUCAGUUUGAAAGUUACAAUUACCAUCUUUUUUGGAGGAUUGCUCUCUCUAAUAAAGUAGCUGUUAAUCAUGGUCAUUGGAGGUAUUAUGCAGUAUCAAAACUUCCCGGUGAUCUUAUCUUGUAUUAUGGACUCUCUAUCUAGAAAACCACUUCAAUGAUUGGAUUUUCAUAUAAGCUUUCAACAUAUUGUCAUCCGAGUUAAGCAAAUCAGAUAAAGCCAUGAGGAUUGUUAUCAGAACGAAAUUCUAUCUCUUUCUCCUCUUAGGUUAGGAUUGUGAAAGAUGGUAAAAAUCUAAUACAAAUUUUUUAUUUUAUAAUUGUAGAGAAUGUUUAAUUAGUUCUUGUGUCUUAUCCAAAAAAGUUUAAUUAGUUCUUGUGGUAGUUUUUCUAAAUUGCGUUGUUUUGAAAGAUUUGUGGUAGAUUACUCACUUACAUGGUUAGUCAUGAACUUUUUGUCUUGAAGAGGUAAAUAAUAACAUUUUGUAUUUAAGUCUCUAGAUUUAGGUUGCGUAGCUUAAGCUUUUAGGAUUUUUAGCAAUUAAAGUUAUUCUGGAGUUUUUGAUGACGACUAAAAUUUCUUGUUUCGUUGUAGGUGAUCACUUUCUGAAGAUGAUGAUGAUGAGGUUAUUGAAUAAAAAAUUAAAGCUUUCUUGGAUGAAAAUGUAUGGAUUUUCAAUUUGAGUCUUUGGAUAAGUGACUAUUUUGUCUUUCUAAUCAACAUUUUGUCUGCCCUUUUAUUAAAUGCACUUGUCGACUCUUACUUGUUCGGUUUGUUUUGCAAUAAUUUAGGCUUUUGAAUUGAAGAAAAUGCAGACAGACAUACCUAUAUUUGCAAUGCCUUAGGCUUGAUCAUCAGCUUUUCCAACUAUAUGGCCAUGAUGAAAAAUAUCAUUAAUACAUUUUUUGACGUUGAGUAUAUCCUUUACUGCAUUGGGUCUUUGAUGUGGCUUAGGAAGGAUAAGCCGAAUACUCUAAUAUCCAUAAUUUACAUCACAAGGAGUAGCUUGCGGGAGCAACAUUUUGAGAAAGGAUAAUGUAUAGGGAAGAGUUUCGACGUAUUUUCGACAUGUACGAGGUUGAUGUAAUGUGAAUAUAGUUCGUUGGACAUUCUCUUAUUGUAUUCAUAGACUUAUAGUAUAACAUUUGUAUAAAAUAUCCUAAUGUACAAAUUUGAUCCGACUUUGAUCUUAUUAUAUGCAACUUUGUUACAUUUUAUAAUUUAUAGAUAUAGAUAAUUUUUUUUGAAA